GACAACUUGAAAGCCACUGAAACAUUUCACAAUAUCAGACAAAAAACAGGCCUGUGCUGCUGUAACAGCAAAGAUGGGUAAAACUAAAUAACAUGAUCAAAACAAAUUGUUCUUUUGGUCAACAAUAAGAAAUUAUCUGCUCUUUUAUAGAGCAAGAAAAUCUGCUCCACAUCAAGUAUCAUAUGAAACUCAACUAUCCUUUAGAGAUAAUACCUUCUGCAUCCAUUGACGCCAAUGAAAAUAAAGUACAAUGCAUUAUGUCAAUCAAAAUUCUCUAGUGCAAGAGAGUAGGGACUGAACAGAGUUAGAAUAACUUCUUAGGUUGACAUUUCUUGGGAAAAUUUUAAAGCUACAAAAGUGAAUGUUUCCAGCAGAAUUUAAACAUGACCCCUAAUUUAAAGGCAACCUCUAAUUCCAAAAUGCAUUUACCAGGACAAUUAUACAUAGUAAGGGAAUUUACCAAUUUCAAUUAGUGUCAAUGCAAGAUGAGAAUGUUGUUCUGAUUUACAUGUUGCUGGUUUGCCAAUGAUCAACUGUUUAAAGUAAUUAAAAAAAAUGGUACUUCUGUUUUCUGUAAUAGAAAGAGCAUCAACAUAUUAAUGUUAUACUUCAUCAUUAGUUGAGCCCUGGAAUAAUCAAAGAAAGGUCUAGAGUAACUUUCAUGUUACUGUAAGUUAUUCAUGUAAUAACUUCCUAAUGCAUACUGUGAAUUGAGUAACAAAAUGAUUUUCCUUUUUUACACAUUUGAUAAUAUCAAAAUUAAUUUCCAAAUCUUUAUCAUACUAAAGAUAUCAAGUAUAACACUGGUACAAACAUCAAAAUUGUAAUUUGUACAUUUCAUGGUUGGGGAACUCAUUAUCAUGACAUGAUUAAUACACUCCGUAGAUUUUUAAUAAGGAAUGGCUUUAGUAGACUAUGAUCUUUGAAGUAACUUAUAUAAUCUUCAAUUAUCAUAUUAUAAGUUAAUGAAACGGCAAAAUGUUAAUCAAAUCAAUUUUAACAGAUGCAAGUCAAGCUCUAGAUCCAGAAAUAAGUUCUCAAUAAACUCAAAUUCGUGUGAAAUGAAACCAAUCGGUGAAUAAAUGUAACACUACAACCAAUAUCACUGUAAAAAUGAAAAUAAUCCUAGAGUGCAACUGAUGAGUACCAUUUGGAAUAUCCUUGAGCUGUG
rnacentral:misc_RNA from 1 species